UAGUAGACCUUUCAGAGAGCUUUGGUGCCUUCGGGAACUCUGAGACAGGUGCUGCAUGGCUGUCGUCAGCUCGUGUUGUGAAAUGUUGGGUUAAGUCCCGCAACGAGCGCAACCCUUAUCCUUUGUUGCCAGCGGUCCGGCCGGGAACUCAAAGGAGACUGCCAGUGAUAAACUGGAGGAAGGUGGGGAUGACGUCAAGUCAUCAUGGCCCUUACGAGUAGGGCUACACACGUGCUACAAUGGCGCAUACAAAGAGAAGCGAACUCGCGAGAGCAAGCGGACCUCAUAAAGUGCGUCGUAGUCCGGAUUGGAGUCUGCAACUCGACUCCAUGAAGUCGGAAUCGCUAGUAAUCGUAGAUCAGAAUGCUACGGUGAAUACGUUCCCGGGCCUUGUACACACCGAAA
rnacentral:rRNA from 1 species